rnacentral:rRNA from 1 species
CCUACGGGAGGCAGCAGUGAGGAAUAUUGGUCAAUGGACGCAAGUCUGAUCCAGCCAUGUCGCGUGAAGGAUGAAGGCUCUCUGAGUUGUAAACUGCUUUUGUACGAGGGUAGACACCGAUACGUGUAUCGGGUUGAAAGUAUCGUACGAAUAAGGAUCGGCUAACUCAGUGCCAGCAGCCGCGGUACUACGGAGGGUCCGAGCGUUAUCCGGAUUUAUUGGGUUUAAAGGGUGCGUAGGCGGUUUGAUAAGUUAGAGGUGAAAUGUCGGGGCUCAACCCCGAAACUGCCUCUAAUACUGGUUGACUAGAGAAUAGUUGCGGUAGGCGGAAUGUAUGGUGUAGCGGUGAAAUGCGUAGAGAUCAGACAGAACACCGAUUGCGAAGGCAGCUUACCAAACUAUAUCUGACGUUGAUGUACGAAAGCGUGGGUAGCAAACAGGAUUAGAUACCCUAGUAGUC